GAUGAACGCUGGCGGCGUGCCUAACACAUGCAAGUCGAACGGAGUCCAGCCUUUAAGACCUUCGGGUCAAAGAGGGGAAGACUGAGUGGCGGACGGGUGAGUAACACGUGGGCAACCUGGCUCAUAGAGGGGGAUAACAGAGAGAAAUUUCUGCUAAUACCGCAUAAGCACACACUGCCGCAUGGCAGAGGGUGAAAAGAGAAUCACUAUGAGAUGGACCCGCGUCUGAUUAGCCAGUUGGCAGGGUAAGAGCCUACCAAAGCGACGAUCAGUAGCCGAUCUGAGAGGAUGAACGGCCACAUUGGGACUGAGACACGGCCCAAACUCCUACGGGAGGCAGCAGUGGGGGAUAUUGCACAAUGGGGGGAACCCUGAUGCAGCGACGCCGCGUGAGUGAAGAAGUAUUUCGGUAUGUAAAGCUCUAUCAGCAGGGAAGAUAAUGACAGUACCUGAAUAAGAAGCCCCGGCUAACUACGUG
rnacentral:rRNA from 1 species